CAGUCUAGGCAAAGGGACCAGCAUUUGUCAAUGCAUGGCGGAGAGAAGAGCGUCCUCAUCCUGCAACAAUGACAAUGAGCCCUGAGGCUCUGCCUGGCUUUCCUGUGGCACCUCCGCUCCGUCCUGUUUGCCUUGGACAUGGGCCCCGAGCUGGGAACAAGGAGGGACACGGAGGAAGGACAUAGCCCUGAACCCUGAUCUCUCAGCAAAGAUCUCCGCCAUACUGCUUCCCCAGUCAGGAGUCUGGUGACUGAAGACCUAUGAGACCCACCUGAACCUUCGUCUGCUCUUCAGUCCAGCCCAGGGUCAUCUUGGGCUAAAUUCUCAGGGGCAUUGUCAAGAAGGGGAGGCCAGACUUCCACCUGUCUACUCCAGGACUCGAGAGGCAGAGCCAGAUGGGGAGCCAGCUAGCAAUCAUUUAUCUCACUUAACUGCAUCCUGCCCAUUGUGCGGAUGGAAAAACUAAGGUGCAGAUUGUAAGACAAAAGAGGCAGAGGCAAAACAGAGCCAGAUCUCCAGACUCUGAACCUUCUGCUCCAUUCUUUCCUCAGCCUCUCAAUGCUUGCAGACGUCUGAUGUCUGCAGGGGACACGGCCUGCCAUAGGAACCCGGGGGUGGGGGUGGGGGUGGGGGACUGGCAAGAGUGUCACAUCUCAUGUUUAGUCUUUGGUGGCCAGGGACUGGCAGGUGCUGUAGGAACGGCUCUCUUGUCUCCGAUCCUGGAAAUGGGCCUCCUGGCAGCCAUGGAGAUUAAGGUCCCUCCCAGGCCCCGUCAUGCUUCACUGGAGGUUGACACUUCCCUGGCUCCCAGCUCCAAAAACAUCAACGAAAUGGGACCCAACAGAACAGGUCCUGUUUGGUCGUAAGGACCAGGUCCGUGCCUUGCAGGUUCCACUGUUGCUUGGAACUCAGGGAACGCACACCUGGAAAACUCGGGGCAUCUGAGCCCCCUUUGACAGAACUUAGACAACCUAGGCUUGUGAGGGCGGGCUGCUUGGGGGUGUGAGGAAGUGGGGCUUUGCUCUGGGUGAUGUGUCAUCACAGAGCAGAGGCGACUCUGACUGGGGAUCUUAGAGAUUGGUUUUUUUUUUAAUCUAAAAGGAAGAGCCACGAAGUGAAGCUGAAGGCACUGUCACCCGUCCAGCCAGGAUCGGUGAUGUUGGAUUCUCCUGUGCUUUAGAGUGCGUUCUUUUAUGAAUUUGCGUUCAGAUGUGACAGGGCAGAGUCCCGGUGCAUUUCGGGCCUACCGUGGCUUUGUUGGACACGCCAAUCUUCAGCAUUGCUUCUGUGUCUGGGGCCGGCAUCCCGGGAGGGACCUCAGAGGGACCCUCCUGCCGUUUUCUGUUCAGAAGCUGAGCCAGCAGCCUUGCACUGACUGCUAGCAAGGAGCAGGUCCCAGCCAGGUAGACAGGCUUGCCCUGUGACUGCAAAGGAAGGUGGACCCGAGUCCAUAUCCCAAGGUUCUCCCUUGGAGGAGGCUUGCACCCCGACAUGCCUUGCAUCUUUAUUCUUUCAUAAACGUCGAAGGGACACUCGUUUUAUGCCAAGACCCAAGUGCCUCAGGCCAGUGCCUUAAUUCUCAGUGCUCAGUUUGUCUCUCUGGGAAAUGGGUACAAUGUUAGUGCCUGAGAUAGACGAGGGCCUAUUGCAUUGCCCUGAAUUGCUGUGGUUAAACACUGGGUGUCAAGUGUGGAGCCAUGCUGGUCCGUACCAUCAUAGACCUUAUUACAGAGAGGCAAGGAGAGGGCGGCUCGGGAGAACAUGUCUUGUUCCUCCUUGUCAUGGCCUAGAGACCGGAGACCCCAGUGAUUCCCCACACAGCCUGGGCUGCAUAGACCAGGAUCUGAGGGUUCCAGAGUUCUGGUCCCUCCAGUCUAUACUACUCCUUAACUCCCCCAACAUAGCUGGGAGGGGGGCAUCUCUUGAAAUUGCCCUGGCUAGCCCCUGACAUCAUUCAGGCCCAGGAUCGACUACCCCAGAAGGGAGGUUGCUGUUUCUAACCCGAACCCCACCUCUGCAUGCCAUGGGGCGCUGCCGACCCGAUGUCUUGUGGUUCUCCAGGCUCUCUAAACACAGCCCAUGGGAGCCGCUGGGGCCCAGAGGCAGAGAGGGCACAGGCUGUGGGGGUGGAGGAGGGCAUGUGCUAUCCUGCCUUCUGCAUGCAUGGAGGAGGGGGUGGUUACAGGACAGCGUGAGACCGGCAUAGAAGGAAGUUUGUUUAUCUGUUGGGGAUGGCAGAGGCAGCGCCCAUGACAGGGGCCUGCUCGAUGUGGGCAGGGAGGGUACUCAUUGUGCCCCUGAAUGGGUAGGUGUGGACGUGUGCGGGGGUGGCCACUCUGGCAGGAGGGUGGGGGCCUGCACUUAGUGUGAGUGCCGAGCUUCAGCCUUGGUAGCUAGGCCUAGGUUCAGAGUUCGCAUUGGCCUGGGUUCGUUUCUAAUUGAGCUCUUUCCUGGCUGUGUGAUCUUGGCCCAGUGGUUUACCCCCUCUGAGCCUCAUUUAUCUGCUCCAUGACUGGGGCUAGGCACAUGAAACUCAUUAUUUGCUGCUCUUUCAGAGGACCCAAGUUUGGUUCCCAGAACCCACAUCAGGAGGCUCAAGACUGUCUGCGACUCCGGCUUCAGGGAUCCAACUGCCACUGGCCUGUGUACAAAUGUGGCAAUACACACACACACACACACACACACACACACACACACACAUGCACUCAUGCAAGCUUGCACACAUGUGUACUGACACACACACAAAUUUUUAAAAGUACUUAAUUAAAAAAAAAGU
rnacentral:lncRNA from 1 species